UUUGAUCGACCCCAACCACAACGGUCGAUCCGCCGGCCGCUGUUGUCCAUAUGUCGCUAGCAGCGCCUGAACCUC
rnacentral:antisense_RNA from 1 species